GGUGAGCUGUGAUGUGAGCUGAUAGCUGGGUGACAGUGAGGAGCUAUUGCUACUCCUAAAAUGAAAUGUAAUCAAGUAAAUUUGGCCAUUUGUGUUUCUAUGAAUGUGGUUUGUUGAGGGUUGUAGAAUUGGUGAGAAGUGUUCAGAGGUGAACAGUGGUAUGUGGGCAAGAAGUCCCGUGGCAUUUCCAAACCAGACACCAUGCUGGGGCACCAGAUGACACCAAGUGAAGAAAUCCACACAAGAAGGAUCAUCUGAAGGAAAGAAAUCCAAGCAAUAUGGUAA